ensembl:lncRNA
CGGCAAAGGUAACGUGCAUGUUUACCGGUAUGUCUGGAUCAUAUUGCAAUGGCACGAAGACACAUUGAAGCAUUUCAGUUUGACCCAGAAUCCGAUCCAGAUGGAGAAGCAACGGAUGAAGAAGUUGCAACUCAGCGCCUCCAGAAGGAUGUUUCCGAAUGAUGUCUUCACAAAAAACUUCAACCUGCCCCUGUCCCAGACUGUUUCCAGAAGACCAUUCUGAUUCUCCCAGUGAUCAAGUAAACCAAGGUAACACAUCCUCGUGAUUAUUGCCCUCUUGGAGUCACCGCUGUCAUCAUUUGAGACAUCUCGCAGGCACAUUAGCCAGGCUCAAGAGGCACAUAUACAUUUGGCUGAAAAGUGCUGUGAAAUAAAAGCCCAGAUGUUCCAUCACCCUUGUUCCAAAGGUCAGUCCACCCUGAGUUUUGUGUUUUU